UACAGAGGGUGCAAGCGUUAUUCGGAAUUACUGGGCGUAAAGCGCACGUAGGUGGUUUGGUAAGUCUGAUGUGAAAUCCCUUGACUCAAUCAAGGAAGUGCAUUGGAUACUGCCGGACUAGAGGAUAGGAGAGGAGAGCGGAAUUCCUGGUGUAGAGGUGAAAUUCGUAGAUAUCAGGAGGAACAACAGCGGCGAAGGCGGCUCUCUGGACUAUUUCUGACACUGAGGUGCGAAAGCGUGGGGAGCAAACAGG
rnacentral:rRNA from 1 species